ACUGGCCUGCAUUUUGUAUUCUAUUCAUGUCGUUUCAUUACAGGCAGAGCUUUUUUCUAGUGAAUUUUCAUGGAUGUUUUGUAUUUGUAGCAUGCAUACCGAGAUGAUCGGUUGGAGGAAGUUUUUCUUCGUCAUCUUGGAGCGGAAGAUAGGCAGACUGUCAUAGCUAAGAACAUUAGGUUGUCAGACUUUCUCAGUGACUUGCACAUUAGAUGAAUGUUCACCAAUAUCUAUUAAAACGAUAUCUAAAUAAUGCAAGGACCUAUCGCCACACAGCUUU